AACCUGCGGAGGGAUCAUUGAAACCGAUCAAACCAACCCCAGAGCACUUGUGGGCGCCGCGCCUCCCCCGGGGGGAGCGGCGUCCGCCGUUUUCGGAACCGCCGGUGAGGUGCGCUCCCCCGGGGGCGCGCCCCUGCCGUGCGGGGCCCUAACCCAUGAAACCUUCUGCCCUGAAGCAGCUUCGUACGGGGACACCCCUGCGAUCUAACUGAGACAACUCUCAACAACGGAUAUCUAGGCUCUCGCAACGAUGAAGAACGCAGCGAAAUGCGAUACGUAGUGUGAAUUGCAGAAUUCCGUGAGUCAUCGAAUCUUUGAACGCACAUUGCCGGUCGAGUCUUCGGACGAGACCACAUCUGCCUCAGCGUCGGGAUACCCCCUCACGCCCGCUCGCGAGAGCGGGCCGUGGACCUGGCCCCCCCGGUCCUUGCGGCCGGGCUGGCUGAAGUACAGAGGUUCGUGCGCGGCCCAUUCGCGGCCCCGACUAGGUAGGUUGCUCGCAACUUCUAGGCGGAGGCUCGGUGCCGUGUGCUAUGAGCCACGAAGGAUACUAACUUUCCAUUCGACCUGAGUUCAGGUGAGGCUACCCGCUGAACUUAAGC
rnacentral:rRNA from 1 species